GGGCUAUUAGCUCAGGUGGUUAGAGCGUACGCCUGAUAAGCGUAAGGUCCCUGGUUCGAGUCCAGGAUGGCCCACCA
rnacentral:tRNA from 1 species